rnacentral:rRNA from 1 species
CCUACGGGAGGCAGCAGUGGGGAAUCUUGCGCAAUGGCCUAACGGCUGACGCAGCGACGCCGCGUGAGGGAUGACGCUCUUCGGAGUGUAAACCUCUUUUGCCCGGGACGCGGUACCGGGUGAAUAAGCACCGGCUAACUCCGUGCCAGCAGCCGCGGUAAUACGGGGGGUGCGAGCGUUGUCCGGAAUCACUGGGCGUAAAGGGCGCGUAGGUGGUCUUAUAAGGGUGUGGUGAAAGCCCGGGGCUCAACCCCGGGUCGGCCGUGCCGACUGUAAGACUAGAGUGCUGUAGGGGCAGGCGGAAUUCCGGGUGUAGCGGUGGAAUGCGUAGAGAUCCGGAGGAAGACCGGUGGCGAAGGCGGCCUGCUGGGCAGUACUGACACUGAGGCGCGACAGCGUGGGGAGCAAACAGGAUUAGAUACCCUUGUAGUC